rnacentral:lncRNA from 1 species
GUAGAGAGUCCACCUCGUCGUCACCAGCAGAGAGGCCACCUCGUCGUCACCAGCAGAGAGGCCACCUCGUCGUCACCAGCAGAGAGGCCACCUCGUCGUCACCAGCAGAGAGGCCACCUCGUCGUCACCAGCAGAGAGGCCACCUCGUCGUCACUAGUAGAGAGACCACCUCGUCGUCACCAGCAGAGAGGCCACCUCGUCGUCACCAGCAGAGAGGCCACCUCGUCGUCACUAGUAGAGAGGCCACCUCGUCUUCACCAGCAGAGAGUCCACCUCGUCAUCACUAGUAGAGAGGCCACCUCGUCUUCACCAGCAGAGAGUCCACCUCGUCUUCACCAGCAGAGAGUCCACCUCGUCAUCACUAGUAGAGAGGCCACCUCGUCUUCACCAGUAGAGAGUCCACCUCGUCAUCACUAGUAGAGAGUCCGACUCGUCAUCACUAGUAGAGAGGCCACCUCGUCAUCACUAGUAGAGAGUCCACCUCGUCAUCACUAGUAGAGAGUCCACCUCGUCAUCACUAGUAGAGAGGCCACCUCGUCUUCACUAGUAGAGGCCACCUCGUCGUCACCAGCAGAGAGACUUUAUUGGCGUCAACCUUUGGCGAUUAGAUGUUUUCAUUUGUGAAGAGUUGAAACAGUAGAAAAGGGAUAAGACUGCAAACACACAUCACCUGUGAAUACACACAUGUUUAAGGUUAUCAGACCAAACAAUAACAGCUAGGUUACAUUCAUUUAAGUGUUCAAAUAAACGCAAUUAUUAAAAUUUGAACAUAAUUCACCGAAAUUUGUACAAAUAUGAAAUAUCAAUAGAAAAACUAGAUUGUGAAUUUCAGUCACACAUUUACUUGCAUACCUUUUUAUCCGAGGCUCACAGGUGUCCCGAGAAACAGCUAAGAACGUUAGUGAAAGUGUCCUCUUCAAAACAAACAAAACACUUCCACUUCACAGUUGAUGGUAGAAUAACUUCAUGUUCAAAACAGGAAGUACUGGUUUCAGUAAAGCAAGUCUUGAUGUACGGUCUCUUAAUCUUGCUAGAAAAAACCCCGGAAAAGUUCCAAAUAUAUUUUCUAAAAGAAAAACAUGCUCCAUCAUAGUAGGUUCUUUCACCAACGCAAGUCUUAUUUAAAAAAAUAUAUAUAUCCUUGUUUACCUUCUUAUAUCUAACAAAGAAGAUCAGAGGUUCUUCUAUUGAGGCUUGUAAAGGUAGUGGAGUUUGGCUUGUCAAUUGAAACGUCGUUCAACGCUGAAAACAAAUGAAGUGUAGCAAUAAUCAUGCUGUAUUCAGUCUCUUUACAGCAAGACCAGGCAUCAAGUGUUAACAGGAGGCCAAGGGAAUCUACACAAUCCACAAAUCAAAGUCUAAACCCUUAAUCCAAAUAAGUCAAACACAUAUACAUAUAUACAUACAUACAUUUCCCAUUAUUUCACUGAAUACUAAAAAGACUAGGUUAAUUGGUACACCAUUUGCACGUUUUGCUACAGUAUUCCUAAUGAAUACAAUGGAGUUGAAUCUCUGGUAGGCUUGUUGACUCUGUGAGGUAUAGAAUGUGAGUCUAUUGACUUCAGGGAGACAGGAAAUUAGUCUUCCAUUAGGAACCAUUCUAAGUAUGGUCUUUGGGUCAAUUCAGAGUAAGCUUGUUGCAACUGUUGUCAUUGUAAUGUGUGCAUCAACCAGUUUGUGUAAUUUUUUCCACCGUUAGACUACAUCCUGUCCAGACUUUAGCUCCACUGCUUUAGUGUUUCUCUCUACCACACCUGCUCAACAGCCCUUCUUCUUUUUGACUACAACCCUGUUCUCUCUGCCCUGAUUUCAACACAAGUCUUUUUCACUGUCCAUUGUCCAGAGGCAUUCCAAAGAGCGAGUUUUCUUGAACAUGUCAAAGGUUACAAAUGCAACACUGACAGCACUUGACGUUUUGCAUAUUUUCUAAUACCCACAAACCCUAGGAUAUCUGAUCUGUAAUUCUGGGAUUUGUUUGAAUUUCUUAUCAGAACCAGUCUCGACUACAAAAUAUUUAAAAAGUUUGGCAAGAAUCAACCUAACAUAUUACAAUGACUUUAAUCUAUCUGCAUCAGACUCCUUUUCCUGGUCACGGUAAUAUUUUUCUCCAUUCUAUUUCCUGGCCGAGAGGAGAUUAAGUUAAAUCAAAUACAAUUUUAUUUGUCACACGCGCCGAAUACAACAGGUGUAGACCUUACUGCGAAAUGCUUUCUGACAAGCUCUUAACUAACAAUGCAGAUUUUUUUUAUUAAUUAAGAAAAUAUUUGCUAUUUAAAAAACAUAACUAAAGCAAGAUAAAAAAGUAAUACAAUAAAAUACCAUUAAGGAGACUAUAUACAAGGGGUACCGGUGCAGAAUCAAUGUGCGGGUGUACAGGUUAGUCGUGUAAAUUGAGGUAAUAUGUACAUGUAGGUAGGGGUAAACUGACUACGCAUAGAUUAUAAACAGCGAGUAGCAACAGCAUAAAAAAGGGGGGCAAUGCAAAUAGUCCGGGUAGCCAUUUGAUUAACUGUUUAACAGUCUUAUCACUUGGGGGUAGAAGCUGUUAAGGAGCCUUUUGGUCCCAGACUUGGCGCUCCGGUACCGCUUGCUGUGCGGUAGCAGACAGAACAGUCUGACAAUUUUUAAGACCUUCCUCUGACACCAGAGAUGCUCUGUGACUCAUCACAAUGAGGUUCUACUGGGAUGAAACAACAGAGAUGCUCUCUGUCUCGUCACAAUGAGGUUCUACUGGGAUGAAACAUCAGAGAUGCUCUCUGUCUCGUCACAAUGAGGUUCUACUUGUCUGACUUCAUAGCAUUACAUGUCAUUGGUCUUCGUGGCUAUAAAACAUAUCAACUUAUUUAUUUUUCCUCAUUAAAUCUCCUCUUUUCUGUUACUCCUUUCAGUCUUUGGCUCAAGUGAAGCUGUAGUGACCUUCUGGUUACAUAACUUGUUACAUAACGUAACUUGUUCAACUUGCCUACCUGGUUAAAUAAAGGUGAAAUAAAAAUAUUUUAAAAAACAUCUGUGAAGUUGGGUUGAUUUGACUUUCAAAAGAACUCCUUUCUGCAGUCGGUAGUGGUGACUUGUGGGAGGCUGAAUACAUUUUUUUCCCGAAUAUUACUGGGUGUUGAUCCAUGCCAUGAUCAAGUGCUCUUCAGAUGUUCUGACGGUAUCUUGGUCUUCACAGAAAUAAACCACUUUGAUCUCAGAGUGAAGGUCUGGUCCAUUUUAUCCUGGCCAAGCAUUGCUGCUUCAUCAGUGGAGAUUGUUUCAAAUCGUCUCCAUGGCGAUAGUGUCUAACAUGAUGAAGAUAAACUCGUUUUUGUUCAUCUUGUUCCAUACAUUUUUCCGGGGAAAUAAUCUUAAAGCACUGUUUUUUUUGCUUUGGUUUGAAUCACAUUUGGUAUUACAAACAAUUCUUUUGAGAGUUUGUCCCUUCUUGUGAGUUGAAGUCUGUGUUUUUUAACCAUUCUUUUCACUUUACGAUAAAUCCAAAAUUGAAAUUGACUUCGUCUCUGAUUUUGCAAACUAAGGUCAAAAUUGUAUUCUAGAAUAGCAUAGAGAAUAUGCCCCCAUCCUUCUGCUUUUAGGGGAUAGGGUUUUAUUUUAGCAUAUUUAUACACCUCAAAUACUACACCGUUUGUCAGUAACUGAAAUUCCAGUUUCUUUUUAGAGGGUUUGAAUGCAACAUCAAGGUCCAGACCUAUUUCCUCACAGCGUGUGUAGCACGCGUUGACAACUUUUUUGGUGUUAGACGUCACAUUUGAUUGGUCCAAGUUGGUAACAACAAUUUGCUUUGUUUCAUCAAUACAAAGUGCAAGGUCAGUCUCAUCAGAGAUUCUCUCCUUCUUGACACAAUGAGAUUCUACUGGUCUGACUUCGAAACGGACUCCCUCCGUCUCCCUGGCUACGCACGUGUCCAUUUCUUUUUCCUUUUUCAUUAAAUCCAAUCUCCUCCUUUUCGACACUUCUUUCAUUUGAUCAUUCGGCUCAAAUGAUGCUGUAGUUACCUGGUUACUGGACAUCUCUGUAUCAUUCUUGAGUUUGCACGAAUUCUUCAAGAAAAAGUAUUCCUUUUCUAAUUCACAUCUCAGUCGGUGAUCAUGUAAUUUUAAAUUUACAUUGGGCUGCAAAGCUGCUCUUAACCUAUUAAUGAUAUCUUCAGCCAGGUCAGUUUUCCCACUUUUUAAAUCCAGAUCAAAAUUAUGCUCAACAACAUCACAGACCAUCUGCUUCCAAUUUCCACACAUUUGUGAGGUAAAAUCAGCCAAUUCAAUCAUUACCUCUCUGGUCAAUAGACGCAAGUCAAGUUUCUCCUUUUUCCCAAAUGUUGAUUUCACAUCAAGGUCAAGUCCUUUUUCCUUACAGAUUGGGUAGAGUUCACUCAAUGCUUCUUCUACUGUGGGCAUCAUGAAGGAUUGGUCCAUUGUCAUGUCUGUCUGAGUGCUGACAGUCUCCGUCUUGACAUGAUGGAUGACGCCCAGAUCUGACUUAUCCCUUGUGCAGAUAUCAUUAGGUCCAUUUUCAGGGUCAAGGAUUGCUGUCUCAGCACAUCGUGUUACAUCUGUCUGAGUAGAGAGGUUCUCAGUCGUCACAUGCAGAGGAGCUAUCAGGUCCACAACAGGCUUCUCCUUUAUGCAGAUGUCAAAAGGUGUAGGAUUUUCUGACACGCUGUUAUUCAAAUUGGACCGUGCAAACCGAGAUUUUCCCCAUGCGUUCAUUGUCUUUGAAUCAGGAAGUUCAAACACUUCUUUUAACCACUCAGGAUUUCUCCUCUUGGUAUACAUCUUCAGCAUGUCAUUUAAUUUUCUUUCUAUCUUGUUUGAAAAGUAACCUCGUACUUCAUUUUGCACACCAAGAUCAAAGUUGUAAUCUAGAAUAUCAAAGAUAACAUGCUUGUUAGAUCUAUUAAUGUUUUUAACAUAUUCAGACACUUCGAUCAUUACACCAAUUGUCAGUAAAUGCAAAUCAAGUUUCUGUCUCGCUCCAGAUCUAACAUGGAAAUCUAUUCCUAUUUCCUUGCACUUAGCAUAUGGAUCUUUCAAAUAUUUCCCAAAUCUUUUGGGGUUAGGUUUUGAGUAACAGCCACGGCACUGCCAUAGAUAUUUAUCCUCAACCGUUUUUUGGCAUUGCAAUCUUCGUCUUAAAUUGGUAUUGUAGUCUUCUUCUUCAUCUGAGGGAAAGUUCAAUGGCUCACAAUAUUCUGGAAUAAUAUUAGAUACAGAUAAAUUAUAGCCACUUUCUAUAGCAGGUGAGGUCAGCACAGAAGUAAUGGCAGUACUAUGGCCUUGGAUAUUAACAUUGUCUACAGGCAAUUCAUUAUUGGUCCGGGUCUGUUUUCGGCUAAAACCCUGUGACUUUGGGUUGAUUUGAGCUUCAAAAGAAUCACUGAGGGUUGAUACAUGUCCUGACUCCUCUUUGAUCGAAUGCCUUUCAGAUGUGCUGAUGGUAUCUUGGUCUUUGCAGAAAUAAACAAUUUUGACACCCCUGUUCUCCCCAUCACUUGCUCCGGUCAUUUCAGGAAAAAUACGUAAAAUCUGCCCUCGACUUGUUGUUUGGGGACUUACGGUAGGUACACAUGUACGCUCUUUCAGUAAACCCACAUGGGAACCUGUUUCUGUGUUUUUUGACAAUAGAGAACUUGGGUAAUCUAUCCAGGCAUUAAUCGAAUCAGACCAAAUUAUUGUUUGGGAUAGCUCCCGCUCAUUUUCCUCUUGCUUAACGUCCAUUUUGCAUCAAUUAAAACAUGGACCAUAAAACUGAUGUGAGCAAGCUAACUUGAUAACUAGCUAUUAUCAUUUGCCCAAUAUAAGUUAGCUAAGUGGCUGCAAACGCCUAGAUCGUAUUUGGAGAUCCAGCGAACAUUUGCUAUCUACCUAGUCACAUGUUCUUUCGCUAGCUAACAAGCUAGGUUAGGCUACUACGGUUUGCAGCUGCGCUAACUAGUUAGUUGUACUAACCUGAAAGGCUAGUUAACGCUGUACCUUUACUGGUGGUGAACUACUGCAAAUCCCUUGGCCUCCAUUACGUUUGAAUGAAAUUCAAGACAAAAAAAAGACUUCCCAUAUCUUUUGAAAAAUAUGUCUGAAAACAUCCGUCAGCUAGCUAGUAAAAAGCGGUAUGCGCCAGAAUGUAACAUUUACGCACAGAGUUUCCGGGCCUUUGGUUUGAGAAGUUAACAAUUAUUUCUUAGUUUGUUCCUUUCCUCGAAACCUGAAGGCACAAACAAAAUUCGAGCCAAUGUCUUAAAGUAGUUGAAUUUGGUAUCGCUCCAAGAUUCGUGAGAAUUACAAACUAACACGUUUUGAUUUUCGACAACAAAGAAAAACGGCUUUAUAAUCGAAGGCGUGCCGUUGAUUUUUGGCGGCCUGCACAUGCGCAGUUCGACGCGAGACGUUGGUUCGACGCGAUGAC